UACGGAGGGGGCUAGCGUUGUUCGGAAUUACUGGGCGUAAAGCGCACGUAGGCGGCUUUGUAAGUUAGAGGUGAAAGCCCGGGGCUCAACUCCGGAACUGCCUUUAAGACUGCAUCGCUAGAAUUGUGGAGAGGUGAGUGGAAUUCCGAGUGUAGAGGUGAAAUUCGUAGAUAUUCGGAAGAACACCAGUGGCGAAGGCGACUCACUGGACACAUAUUGACGCUGAGGUGCGAAAGCGUGGGGAGCGAUCCGG
rnacentral:rRNA from 1 species